rfam:Schistosoma rodhaini strain Burundi genome assembly, scaffold: SROB_scaffold0005310
CUCAGCUGAGGAGUCCCACAAUAGGACGAAACGGUCGUCAAGCAG